UUGAGUUAAUUGUGUUGCAAAGCGGAACGAUUGUUGUGAUGUUGCGACCCCACGGACAGUAAAUAAGGCAGAACAGGCAAGAGGGGAGGGUGCUUGAGCACGUUGUCUUCAGCUCCUCAAAAGAUUUAAGUGUAUUCGAUGAUUCGUGCAAAACUUCAAGCAAGUGAUUAUUAGAACCUCUUUUCGUUACAAGCAGCCAACGAGUUCUCACGGCGUGUUGGCGUGUUGGCGUGUUGGCGUGUUGGCGUGGAUGGUGUGUACAGCAAGAAGGAGGAGUCAAUAAACGCCCGUUUUACAAAAAAGAA